AGAGUUUGAUCAUGGCUCAGAUUGAACGCUGGCGGCAGGCUUAACACAUGCAAGUCGAACGGUAACAGGAGAAAGCUUGCUUUCUUGCUGACGAGUGGCGGACGGGUGAGUAAUGCUUGGGAAUCUGGCUUAUGGAGGGGGAUAACUACGGGAAACUGUAGCUAAUACCGCGUAAUAUCUUCGGAUUAAAGGGUGGGACUUUCGGGCCACCUGCCAUAAGAUGAGCCCAAGUGGGAUUAGGUAGUUGGUGGGGUAAAGGCCUACCAAGCCGACGAUCUCUAGCUGGUCUGAGAGGAUGACCAGCCACACUGGAACUGAGACACGGUCCAGACUCCUACGGGAGGCAGCAGUGGGGAAUAUUGCACAAUGGGGGGAACCCUGAUGCAGCCAUGCCGCGUGAAUGAAGAAGGCCUUCGGGUUGUAAAGUUCUUUCGGUGAUGAGGAAGGCGGUUGUUUUAAUAGAACAAUCGAUUGACGUUAGUCACAGAAGAAGCACCGGCUAACUCCGUGCCAGCAGCCGCGGUAAUACGGAGGGUGCGAGCGUUAAUCGGAAUGACUGGGCGUAAAGGGCACGCAGGCGGUGACUUAAGUGAGAUGUGAAAGCCCCGGGCUUAACCUGGGAAUUGCAUUUCAUACUGGGUCGCUAGAGUAUUUUAGGGAGGGGUAGAAUUCCACGUGUAGCGGUGAAAUGCGUAGAGAUGUGGAGGAAUACCGAAGGCGAAGGCAGCCCCUUGGGAAUAUACUGACGCUCAUGUGCGAAAGCGUGGGGAGCAAACAGGAUUAGAUACCCUGGUAGUCCACGCUGUAAACGCUGUCGAUUUGGGGAUUGGGCUUUAAGCUUGGUGCCCGUAGCU
rnacentral:rRNA from 1 species